rnacentral:rRNA from 1 species
AGUGAAUAGAUACCCCGGUAGUCCACGCCCUAAACGAUGCAUGUUUGGUGUGGGUGAUUCAGUUCAUCCGUGCCGGAGCUAACGCGUUAAACAUGCCGCCUGGGGAGUACAGUCGCAAGGCUGAAACUCAAAGGAAUUGACGGGGGCCCGCACAAGCGGUGGAGCAUGUGGUUUAAUUUCGACGCAACGCGAAGAACCUUACCUGGGCUCGAACGGCCGGUUAACGGCGGUGGAAACAUCGUUACUCCGCAAGGAGGUCCGGUCGAGGUGCUGCAUGGCUGUCGUCAGCUCGUGUCGUGAGAUGUUGGGUUAAGUCCCGCAACGAGCGCAACCCUCGUCCUGUGUUGCCACCCCGCAAGGGAGCACUCGCAGGAGACCGCCAGCGAUAAGUUGGAGGAAGGUGGGGAUGACGUCAAGUCCUCAUGGCCUUUAUGUCCAGGGCUACACACGUGCUACAAUGGCCGGUACAAACCGUAGCGAACCCGCGAGGGGUAGCCAAUCGGAGAAAACCCGGUUCUCAGUUCGGAUUGCAGGCUGCAACCCCGG